CGCUGCUGCACGGGCUGAUGGGAAGGGGCGAGCUGGUUCCGCUCCCGGUGCGCCAUGAUUUUGGCCACUUUGCGAAGCUUGGCAGUUCGCGGCACCGUGGUUCGCGGAGAAGUGAUUCUUUAGGCUACGGAGAAGCAGCUGAUCAUAGGGCAGUAGCAGUGAAUCGCAGCAGUCAUGGUAAAUUGCGCGGUUUAUGGAUGCAGCAAUAGGUCGUGGCGAAAAAACAGCGAGAACACAAACGAGGUAAAGUUCUAUGGAGUGCCUUCAGUCAUCUACAACCAAUGCAGCAGGACGCGAGAAUUGUCGGAAAGGCGUCGUGCCGAGUGGUUUCGCCGCAUUCGUCGCGCUGACAUCGACACAAAUUCUCCCAACUACAAAGUGUGCAGUGUUCAUUUCAUUUCUGGAAAGCCAUCUUAUUUGAUGGACGAGACAAAUCCAGACUGGGCACCAAGUCUUCAGUUAGGGUACUCAACAAACCCUACAGAUCUUGCAGUGGGCAGGUCAGCCAAGCCGCAGUGACAACGGUCUUGGAACGCUGCCUUGAUGUCAUGCACAGACACCUGAGCCAGCUUGUGGAGUGGCCAGAUCGGUAGGAGCUACUACGAACCAUGCCCAUGUGCUUUCGUAGAGCAUUUGGAACUAGAGUGCCUGUAAUAAUUGACUACUUCAAAGUGUUUCUAGAGGGGUCAUCUUCAUUUCUUCCACACUGUCAUACAUGGUCACAAUACAAGCAUCGUAAUACUGUAAAAUCUCAUUGGAAUUGCACCUCGGGGUUCCAUUACCUACAUCUCUAAAGGACGGGGUGGGCAUACAAGCGACAAGCUCCUGAUCGAGCACUGUGGUAUUCUAAACAACCUUUUACCAGGAGACACUGCUUAUGGACCGAGGUUUCACUAUUGCCGAUGCCGUAGGGAUUCUUUGUGCACGUCUUAAAGGGCUAGCGUUCACAAAAGGGAAGUGACAGCUCACGGCCUGGGAGGAGGAGAAGAAACGAAAGAUAGCCAAUGUUCACAUACAAGUAGAGAGAGUCAUUGGGCUAUUGCGUCGGAAGUAUGCAAUUUUAUCCUCGAUUAUUCCAAUCGAGCUUGUGAUGGUAAGAAGUGGAGACAUGGUAGCACAACUAGACAAAAUUGUGACAGUAUGCUCUGCCUUGACUAAUCUCUGCAAGUCUGUUGUGCCGUUCCAGUGAAUUCGGCAUAUGUUGUCAUUACUUUAAUUCAACAAAUAGUCUUGGUUUGGAACAGCUUUUUCCCUCUACGAGUGCUUGAAUUGCAGAAAAGUACAGACUAGUUGGACAUGCCCUGCGUGUUUGUGUGACGUGCUUCCAAGUCAUCCUGUGUGCUCCCCUGUCAACUGAUUAAUGUACCCUGAUCAAGGCUGCUGCUUUUUCUUGCAAGGCUUACAAGCUAGGCAGAACCAUGCCUUGGUCAUUGGUGGACGUUUCUGAUUUGCACAUGCAAUAUGGCACCAUUUAGUAGGACACUGUCGGCCACUGCACUUAACCCUUCCACCGUAUUCAGAAUCACUACAAUAACAGUAGCAUUCACUGUCUGCUGAACUUUCAUCACAUGUAAGCAUUGUUUCUUGCUGUGGCAAGGUAGUCCAGUGUUUAAAUAAAAGCUGCAGGAGGAAAACCUGUUCAAAGAAUGC